rnacentral:rRNA from 1 species
UACGAAGGGGGCUAGCGUUGCUCGGAAUGACUGGGCGUAAAGGGUGCGUAGGCGGCUCUAUAAGUAUGGUGUGAAAUCUCCCGGCUUAACUGGGAGGGUGCGCUAUAGACUGUGGGGCUAGAGUGUGGGAGAGGAAAGUGGAAUUCCUGGUGUAGCGGUGAAAUGCGUAGAUAUCAGGAGGAACACCGAUGGCGAAGGCAGGUCUCUGGGCCACUACUGACGCUGAGAAGCGAAAGCAUGGGGAGCGAACAGG